CUUGACCGGAGACAUCUGAGAUGCAGCUGUUUGUUUCUGCUUGGGAAGCAGCACAGCAGUAACUUAACAAGCCUUUGAUGCACAGGCUGGUCCGUGUCGCAUCUACAGACUGAUGAAAGUGCUGAGGACGGCAGUGGACAAGGGAUGCUCAGCUACAGAGUGAAAACAAGCUUCCAUCUUAGCUGUCCCCAUCAUCUCCACAGCAGAGGAAGAAAAGGAAGGGAUGGUGACCCUGUUCGAGGGAAACUGAUGAAACCCUACAGGAGGGAGAUCUGAGUCAUGAGAGCUUCUCAUGGAAACUUACUUCCUGGCCUCCUUUUUGCUGUGUACUGUGAACAGGAGAUGAACUAAGGCAUAGUGGAGGGAAGCUGCAAUUUCACAAGCUCUCUGAAGCACUAUAAGCAGUUUUCAUUCCUAUAAAACAUGCAAUCUUCCAGUA